GUCGGAGGUGUGUCUCCAUGGGUGUCCUGACGCGCAGUGUCUCAGCGAAGUCGACGGCAGCUAUGGACGGCACAAGCUCAGCUUUUCUCCGAACAUUUUGCCAGUAGUGCUAUGGAACAACCAGACGCUCACUUGCAACCUCAAACAUUCAGCAAUGUUUUUUGGACACCAAUGGCUUCCUCCGUGGUAUUCUACCAUGAACUCCAUUCUUGUUCAACGUUUUACGUAUCGUAGAUCCGUCAACAACGUCAGCAUGUGCCAGAGAUUUCUAUACGUCUGCUAGCUGACAUUCUAGGAUUUUUCUUCACCUCACUGAGCAUUCUGCACUGCGGUCUCAGUCAUCUUUACAGGUCGACCACACCUAGGGACAGCCGCAACAGUGCUGAACUUUCUCUAUUUGUCUAUAUAGAGUGUCUUACCAUGGACAUCAAGGCUUUUAGUGAUACUUUUGUAACCCUUUCCAGCUAAAAUCUGACCAAUAUAAGUCUAUGAGCAUCAACUGAUAAGAGAUGAAAUGUCUUCUAAUACAAAUCAGUCAGUCCAGUUGCAAUCGAUUGAAUGCCCUGAGAUCAUUAUCUACAUAUUUAAGCUACAUUUAAACCAUUGUGGGUGGCACUUGGAGCAGGUGGAUUAAGGUUAUUGCCCAAGGACACAACGGCAAUGACUCAGAUGCCGGAAGCGAGGAUCAAACCUAUGACCCUCAACUUGCUGGCACUUUCGCUCAACCAAUGGAGCCACACUACCCUAUGAGUGUGUCGACAGACAUCCAAAUUUGUGGUAAAAUUACAGCGUAAUUUGACUUUUUCUUUUUAAAGUCAUCAAAAUGUUUAAAUGACUUUAAUGUGCUAGAGCGCAUUGACCCACAGUUGAAGACCUCUGGUGUAAGUGUGAUUUAAUCAUUUAAUUUAUUAAUUCCUUCUCAGUUGGCAUUUUUAUACUAUUUAACUUCAUUUUUUGUGUGAAUUAGCAAAACGUAACUUAAAAUUGAGCAAUUUCCUUUUGUCAGGUAGGGCUGUCCACCGCGGGCAAUGCACCCAAGUAUUAAAUCAUUUUGUAGUUUUAACAGACUAAACCAAUCCAAUGUAGGCAACUAGCUUAGCUGUUAAAUGCGUUAAUAUCGAUUACGCUAAUAGAAUUGCAUGUUGAAUACCCCAGCUUGAAGAGUUUUUCUAUUCAAGGCUAAAUCUCUCUCUCUUUAGUCCAAUAGUGGUGGUCUAAGACCAAGUUAUUUUGCCUUGGCAUUUCAAACCAGCUACUCCAUCCAUUGAGUCAUAUUUAAAAUACACAUACACUUAACAUUUAAAAUGAUGGUGCAGUCUAUGAAAUAUGUCUGAAAGACAUUCCAUUAAAGACAGAAUAACACACUGGAAGAAAAUGCUUUGUUGACACAUUCUUGAACAUAACUUAACACAUUUCCAGAGAAAAUUCUUGAGGAAAAGAUUGAGCGUGCCAGUUUUGUAGCUUUUGUAUGCUCCCAAAAACGUUAUAUAAAUCAAACUAAGUUACAAUCUGAUGGUUCAAGAAUUGGGUUUAAAAGGAUGUGUAAAAAGUAACUUUAAAUCAACUGAGUUCUUCCAACUUUAUAAAAAUACUGCAGUCAACUCGAACGAUAACAAAUGUUAUAGGAUCUGCUGUAGCAACCAUGUUUGGAUAAAAGCCCAUUUAGUGCUGGAUUUUCAGCUGGUCCAAAACAGAGUCCUGGAGUGUUUAUGCUCCUGUCAAAGCAAAAUCUAAUUUUUGAGAACAAGUAAACAAGACUACACAGUAUGUUAAAGGAGCCGCACAGUUCUUGCAGUAACUCAAUAAGUCCGUUGGUGUCACUCCAUACUAUCCGGGUCUGCUUGGGCCAUGUACGCAUCCAAUUCAG